UUUUGUAUAAUGGGUCAGCGACUUAUAUUCUGUAGCAAGGUUAACCGAAUAGGGGAGCCGAAGGGAAACCGAGUCUUAACUGGGCGUUAAGUUGCAGGGUAUAGACCCGAAACCCGGUGAUCUAGCCAUGGGCAGGUUGAAGGUUGGGUAACACUAACUGGAGGACCGAACCGACUAAUGUUGAAAAAUUAGCGGAUGACUUGUGGCUGGGGGUGAAAGGCCAAUCAAACCGGGAGAUAGCUGGUUCUCCCCGAAAGCUAUUUAGGUAGCGCCUCGUGAAUUCAUCUCCGGGGGUAGAGCACUGUUUCGGCAAGGGGGUCAUCCCGACUUACCAACCCGAUGCAAACUGCGAAUACCGGAGAAUGUUAUCACGGGAGACACACGGCGGGUGCUAACGUCCGUCGUGAAGAGGGAAACAACCCAGACCGCCAGCUAAGGUCCCAAAGUCAUGGUUAAGUGGGAAACGAUGUGGGAAGGCCCAGACAGCCAGGAUGUUGGCUUAGAAGCAGCCAUCAUUUAAAGAAAGCGUAAUAGCUCACUGGUCGAGUCGGCCUGCGCGGAAGAUGUAACGGGGCUAAACCAUGCACCGAAGCUGCGGCAGCGACGCUUAUGCGUUGUUGGGUAGGGGAGCGUUCUGUAAGCCUGCGAAGGUGUGCUGUGAGG
rnacentral:rRNA from 1 species